rnacentral:misc_RNA from 1 species
UUUUAAUAAAUUAAUUACCCAAUUAGCUAGUGUUGGUGUGAAGGUAGAUAACGAAGAUAAAGUUCUCUUGCUUCUAACCUAUCUCUCACAAUCUUAUAAAAGUUUGGUGAUAGCCAUAAUAGUUGGGAAGAAGACUUUGAAGGUAGAUGAGGUUACCACGGUUAUAUUGGAUGAUGAAAAGUUCAAUGAAGGUGGAGCUUUUGUUGC